rnacentral:ncRNA from 1 species
ACCAACGAGUCUGACCUAUGUGCGAGUCAAUGGACGAGUAAACCCAUAAGGAGUAACGAAGCUGAUUGGUGGUAUCCCCCCGAGGGGUGUACCGCCGACCAACCUUGUUCUUCUGAGAAGGGUUUAAGUGUGAGCAUACUUAUCCGAACCCAAAAGAUGGUGACCUAUGCAUGAGCGAGGCAAAACCAUAGGAAACUCUGGUGGAGGCCCGUAGCGAUAAUGACGUGCAAAUCAUUCGUCUGACUUUGGUGUAGGGCCCGUAGCUGCUUUAUCGAACCAUAACACGGAAUCAUGAACUCCAAGUGGGCCAUUUUUGUAAAGUAGAACGGGCGAUACGGGAUAAACCGGAAGCCGAGCUAUGGUGCCAAACUGCACUGUAACCUAGAUCCCACAAAGGGUGUUGGUCGAUUAAGACAACAGGAUGGUGGUCAUGGAAGUCAAAAUCCGCUAAGGAGUGUGUAACAACUCACCUGCUGAAUAAAAUAGCCCCGAAAAUAGAUGACGCUUAAGCACGCGACCUACACUUGAACGUCGGGGAAAGUUCCAAGCCCUGAUGAGUAGGAGGGCGUGGAGGUCGCUGCAAAACCUUGGGCGCGAGCCUGUGCAGAGCGGCCGUCGGUGCAGAUAUUGGU